AUUGAACGCUGGCGGCAGGCCUAACACAUGCAAGUCGAACGAGUGGCGGACGGGUGAGUAAUGUCUGGGAAACUGCCUGAUGGAGGGGGAUAACUCCUGGAAACGGUAGCUAAUACCGCAUACCAUCAGAUGUGCCCAGGUGGGAUUAGCUCGUUGGUGGGGUAACGGCUCACCAGGGCGACGAUACCUAGCGGGUCUGAGAGGAGUACCAGCCACACUGGAACUGCGACACGGUCCAGAUGCCUACGGGAGGCAGCAGUGGGGAAUAGUGCACAAUGGUGGCAAGCCUGAUGCAGCCAUGCCGCGUGGAUGAAGAAGGCCUUCGGGUUGUAAAGUACUUUCAGCGGGGAGGCGUUACCCGCAGAAGAAGCACCGGCUAACUCCGUGCCAGCAGCCGCGGUAAUAC
rnacentral:rRNA from 1 species